UUUCGCAAGUGAGCGGACGAAAAGCUCCGCCGUCGGCAGGAAGCGGUCUACCAUGACGCCGACACCCCCGCCGUUCGGAUGCAUCCCGUCGUCGAGCUUCAGGCCGACCUCGGUGACGACGCCGUCGAGGAAGAAAGGGUAGAAAACGAGAUUGUGUUCCUUUGCGAGGUCGGGAUAGAUCGGAUUGAAGCGCGCCGCAUAAUCCGGCCCCAUGUUCGGCGGCGCCAUCAUUCCCGCGAGCAGGACGGCGACGCCGCGCUCCUUGAGCCGUGCGACCAUCGCCUCCAGAUUCUUGCGCGUCUCCUCCGGAGGGAUGCCGCGCAACGCGUCGUUGGCGCCGAGUUCGAGGAUGACGCCGUCGGUGCCCUCGGGGAUCGACCAGUCGAUGCGGGCGAGACCGCUGGAGGUCGUGUCGCCGGAAACGC
rnacentral:sRNA from 1 species